rnacentral:misc_RNA from 1 species
AUCUCUUGCUUCUCCCUGUGCACACGGAACAGAAACCCUGCUGCCGUUUGCCCUUUCCCUGCCGCGCCGCGCCUGUCUUUUAUCUCGUAUCGGAAGUGCCCAAUUUUCAGCAAGCAGCACGGGACCGGGGGACACUGUUUCUUGCGCCGUUAAGCUUUGCGGCUUCUCUCUUGCCGCUCACAUGCGCUGCCCUGACCCCGCUCGUGUCUCUGCUUCUCACUGAGCGCGCUGUCGAUCCUUAUCUUUCCCUCCAUCAUAUAUUACACACACACACACACAUACAUAUAUAUAUAUAUAUAUAUUCGGCCUUGCCACUUUCAAUCGCCCUUUUGGUCCUGCCGUCUCCAUCCCUUUGUUUGCCAGCAUACUUCUUUACCUCACUCGAUUACUUACACUUGCUUCCCUCCCCUCCCACCCGAACAACGUCGCCACUGCCCUGCCACAUUCGCUCCAGGAGGAGACUUGAACAUGGUUGCGCCGCGCAUUCAUACACGCACGAUUACAGAAUUACAACGUGGGGGGAUUGAGCUGUCGUUGUCUUCUUUUUUUCUUGUUUGCUUCGGUUGGUGUCGCUUUCAGCGUCACGUGUUCUGUGCUCCCCCCUCCCCCCUCCGCUGCAGUAAUGGACAUGCCACGCUCGUCUCGACACGGCGCCACCAAGGAGUCGGCGACGGGCUCCUCGUCCGUCACGACACAGCGUGUCGGGAGCAGCCUAUAUCUCGGGCCAGAGAUGGCGCCGGAGGAGGCCGACAGAAGAUCGGCGCACCCCAGGAAGAGUAUGACGACGCCGCGCGAGCAGCUGCUCUACCUGCAAGCCCUUUACCCGUACGCCGCUUAUGAUGAGCUCAUGGCGGUAAUUAGCAACACCGACGGCGCAGACGAGGCAGCGGAGCGCGCCUACGAGGCACUGAACCCCGACUACAACGGUUUCGCGUAUCUCAAAGAGCAGCACGACCUCUUCACGAGCGAAAAACUACCGAGCGCCAAACGGGCAACGGCGUUCGCGGGCUUGAAGGAGUCGCUGGAGGAGCGGGCGGCCUCCGCCUUUCGGCCUGGGCACUUUGGCAAUCUCUCGCAGCUGCAGGAGUACCACGACACGGUGGGGCUCUUCAUCGUGGACACAUCAGAUUGGGACCGCGCGACGCUGCUGCCCUCGCGCGACUUAGCGGAGAUGGCGUUCAUGGACCUCCCUCUACUCGAGGAGCCGACUAGUUACGAGGCAGCCACGGCCACGAUCAACGGUGACAGCAACGACGUCAAUGGCCUGAGACGUGAGAGCUGGUCGCAGGUGUGCAGCACCUCGCUCGCCGCAUCUAACAACGGGACCUGCUUCCUGGACCUGCAGCCGAGCAGCAAGCUGCACCCCGUCAGCAACACCGCGUCCGCUUCGCUAUCGGGAGGAAAUACCGACAAACGCUCUCGUGCGUCGUCGCGUGGUGCAUCCGAAGAGCGACCAGCGGGUGGGCUCAACGGUAGCGGUGCCGCUGGUGACGGCGGGGACAGCGCCGCCGCGAGCGUCGUGUAUGUGCAGCGCAACGACCCACCACGUGCAGCACCGAUUAUAGCGUGGGCACCUGAGGCAAUCCGUGUGGGUCCGGCUGAGGCGCGACGGGAGUGCGAAGGCAUUCUGCACGUUUUCGACGAAGCAACCUUCAAGAACCCGCUGCUGCGGUUAGCGACGCCGCCGCCAGCUUCAACUGGGGUCUUGCCACAUGCGCAUAUGUCUCGGCCGGAAAGCGCCGCGGCAGCGCGGUUGGCGGCUGAAGGCGAAGCCCACGAGCCUGUCGUGAACGGUCUGGUUGGUAGCCAGACAAGCGCCUUGGCUGCUCCGCCAUCCCCGCAGAUGACCUAUCCAUCGUUCGUGGGGGAGGAGAGCGAGGCCCACGAGCCGUUUGAUCCGGGCUCCAGCGUGGCGCCUAACUGUGGCAGCGGUGACAAGGUCAACGACGCGAACGCCGAGGAGUUGCUCAGCGCACAGGCGUCAUUCGCAUUGCAAUCUCACCACCGCAGACGCACCUGCUUACCCAAACCCUAUGCGGACAGGCAACCCGGCGCGACCGCGAACACGAGCACGGCCUACGGCGCCACCAACGGGACACGUCAGAUCUCGGGCGACGACGACAACGCGGCCUCCUCCAAUGCGCUGAGCGCGCAGUCCAGCAUGCGGGAUGCGGCCCGCAAAACGCUCAAGGGGCGCAAGCCGCAUCCUCUCACGACUUCGGAGACGGUGUGGCAGCGCAUCCGCAGCCGGACUUCAAUAGGCAACUUGAUUUUUCGUGCGACUUCCCAGCACACGCCCGUGCUGUCGCCGAGGCAGAAGAAGAGCAGCAACGGUCGCCCCAACGUGGUAUGCUCGCCAGGGUUUGCUCUGCCGCGAGCCGCUGCCCGCAACGAGGCAAGUGCGCUGAACGGCACAGCUCAGAGCACCGAACGGCAGCAGGCAGCGCACAACAGCUGUGAGGAUAUACCAGUCGAGGGCAGUGGCGCGGAUGACGGUGAUGCGGGCGCGCCGCACGACGAGCGACCAUCCAACGCGGGAACGCUGGCCAUUCCUGCCGCGCACAGUGGAUGCUCAAGCUUAGACCCCGUAACCUUCCUGAACGCCGAGGAGGAGCGCUGGGGCACCAUAGCGACGAUGCUGGCUCCAUACGAGGAGGUGUUCGGCUCCAAGUCUCGCUGUGCGCUUGUGCGGUGCAUCCACGAUGAGUGCCCCAAGCUGCGUGACAACGCCACAGUCAUUCUGCAGCGGCUGCUGCACGUGCUCGGGAAGGCGCUAUGUGGCAAAGAGCUGGUGGAGGGCAUGACGGAGGAACCGGUGGAGGUACCCUUGCUCGGCCCGAUUCUGCUCUCCACCUCACCUAUCAAGCUGACCGAGCUCAGCUUCCGCGAGGACAAGUGUUCUAUCGAGUUUUGCGAGGAUGGAACACGACUGCAGGCGAAGCUUAACCUAAAGGCGAUGUCGCUGGAGGCGAUCCAGUUUGCGUACAUUGGUGAAGCCGAUGCCGCCCGGCAAGCACGCACGGCGCAGCAUUCGCAGCGACGAAUACCGGGGUCUUACUGGCGUGCGGCGGCGCGUACGCGGCGUGGCAGUGAACAAGACCAGUACACCACGGGUGUUACGCGCGGCACCGCCACAAUCAAGGCUGCCAAUGUCCGCGUGAAAGGAAGGGUGUGCAUAUGGCUGAUGACCUCCGGCAAAAUGCAUGCUGCCUUUCAAAAGACGACCGUCUCUGUGGGUUCCUUCCGGGUGUCAACAACAGUGAGGAAGCUAAACGUCUUGUGCACCCUCGGUGCACCUAUUUUGCGGCUAAUGGUGCAGCGCGGCAUUAAGCAGGUGCUGCAAAGCGGGCACAGCCUGUGACGUCUGCGUGCGUGCCAUAUGCUGCAGACCGUGACACACACUAAGCGACUCUUGCCAUUUUCUUCUGUCCUUUUAGAUUGUGUGUGUGUGUGUGCAUGAAAAGGGUUGUCACGGUGCGUCACUUGCGGCUUGCCUUUGCUCAGCCCUGCGGUGCACGGAGGUACACCCGCACGCGCUGAAAGGCGACAAACGCGAAAGAAAAGCCCCGUUUCCUACGACUCCUUUAAGGCUGCCGCAGCCACUGCAUCCCACCUCACCGAUCACGCGCGCAAAUGGCGGGAAGAGGGGCGGCCAUGCAGAGGCAGCAAGUAAAUUUGACGUGAACCUAUGCAACGGACUGUAGGACAGCAUGCGACAACACAGCGCCGUCGGCUCGCUGCCUCUUUGCCUCUACGGUCCCUUUUUUACUUUUUGUUUUCGAGCGCAUCUCUGAUUCCCCAGGGAGGCGGUGUGGGCUGCACGCCAACCGGCCCGAAUCGCAGCCAUGUGCGCCCGCAGCG